UUUCCCCAUCCCCGCAGCCCAGGCGACCACCAUUCUGCCCUGUAUUUCUAUGAAUUCAGCCAUUUUAGAUUCCACAUAUAAGAACACACAGGAAGAGUGAGAACACAGUUCCCCACUACAACAAAUUAUGCAGUCGAGUUUCCCACAUUUGGGGAAAUUGCAAGAGUCAGCACAUCCGGAGUGCAAUGGAUAAGCCUCGCCCUGGGAAAACCACCUUCAUGAUCAUGAUUCUCAGAGUGGAAGCUCAGAUUAUUGAUUUGAGACUUUUACUGUUUUCUAAUGUAUGCAUUUGGAGUGCUAUAAACUUCCCUGUCAGCACUGUUAUAGCUCUGGCCCACAAAUUUUGGCGUGUAUUUUCAUUUUUAUUCAGUUCAAUUCAUUUAAAAAAAUGUUUCUUGAUA